UACGAAGGGGGCUAGCGUUGCUCGGAAUCACUGGGCGUAAAGCGCACGUAGGCGGGUUGCUAAGUCAGGGGUGAAAUCCUGGAGCUCAACUCCAGAACUGCCUUUGAUACUGGCGACCUUGAGUCCGGGAGAGGUGAGUGGAACUGCGAGUGUAGAGGUGAAAUUCGUAGAUAUUCGCAAGAACACCAGUGGCGAAGGCGGCUCACUGGCCCGGUACUGACGCUGAGGUGCGAAAGCGUGGGGAGCAAACAGGAUUAGAUACCCCAGUAGUCC
rnacentral:rRNA from 1 species